UACAGAGGGGGCAAGCGUUGUUCGGAAUUACUGGGCGUAAAGGGCGCGUAGGUGGCCCGCUAAGUCGAACGUGAAAUCCCCGAGCUCAACUCGGGAACUGCGUCCGAUACUGGUGGGCUUGAAUCCGGGAGAGGGAUGCGGAAUUCCAGGUGUAGCGGUGAAAUGCGUAGAUAUCUGGAGGAACACCGGUGGCGAAGGCAGCCCCCUGGGCUAGCACUGACGCUCAGGCACGAAAGCGUGGGGAGCAAACAGG
rnacentral:rRNA from 1 species